rnacentral:tRNA from 1 species
AGAAGUAGAACUCGGUGGUAGAGUGCGUGUUUGGUGUGCAUGAGGUCCUGGGUUCAAUCCCCAGUGCCUAUG